ensembl:lncRNA
UUUUUCACUCUCUGUAACAGCUUCUCAAGUCUCUCAUCAUGUUGUUGUUUUGUGUUUCCCCAGACAACUAUGUCAUCAAUGUACACUCGUGUUCCUUCCAGACCCUCUAUGAUUGACUCCAUAGCUCUGUGAAAGAUCUCUGGCGCUGACUUGAUGCCAAAUGGAAGCCUCAGAAAACAGUAACGCCCAAAUGGUGUGUUAAAGGUGGUGUACCUGCUGCUUUCUGGGUCCAGUUUCAGCUGCCAAAAUCCAUGCGAGGCGUCUAAUUUGCUGAAGUACUUUGCACCGGCCAUGUCACUCAGAAUUUCUUCUCUCUUUGGGAUUUGAUAAUGUUCUCUUUUAAUAUUUUCAUUCAAAUCUUUAGGAUCUAGGCAGACACGUAACUCAGGGGAGUUUCUUUUUUUAACACAUGUGAUGGAAUUUACCCAGUCUGUGGGCUCUUCCACUCGCUCGAUGACUCCCAUCUGUGUCAUUCUGUUCAGUUCCUUUUUAAGUCCUGCUUUAAGAGGUGCUGGCACUCUCCUUGGGGCAUGCACUACAGGUUUAGCAUCUUCCUUGAGCUGUAUUUUGUAAGUGUAAGGUAGUGUACCAUGUCCUUUAAAGACAGUCGCGUAUUUGUUCACAAUACUUGUACUACCUUCGCUUUGUGACAGCAUUUUGAUUUGAUUGUCUAUUUUUAUGUUAUCACUGUUGAUCUGGUAGAUCCUCUUGACUAGUCCAAGAUCUUCAGAUGCUUUGUCUCCAAGGAUCGACUCGUGUCCACUUGGCACUAUUGUAAACAUCAAGUGGUGUUGUCUGCCUUUUGCAGUCAAUUUGAGCCUACAACUACCCAUAGUUUUUAUUGGCUGAUUGUUGUAUGCUUUUAAUGACAUUGUCUUGUCCAUUUAUCAUCUUUUACUGCACGUACAGCAUGCUCUGUGUCACUUGCAUUUUGGGGCUGUACGUAGCUUUUCUCAUACGACACCAUUUUGAUGAAAAAUGUCUCGCUCAAAUCAUCACUGUCAUCUGGGUCAUCCUGCACUAUGUGUAUUUUUUUUCUGGUAUGACACAUUUUCGCAUAGUGAUUUUGCUUUUUACACUUUGCACAUGUUUUUCCAAAUGCAGGGCAUUGUCUCGGUCUGUGCGUUUCACCACACUUCUUACAGUCAAACUGUGUUUGAUCAUCGUCUCUCUUUUUGUCUUUUUGUUUGAACUUGAACUGUGAUUUUCCUUUCAUUUUCACUACAUUCACGGACUCGCUUUCUUGGUCAUAUGGCACCGCUUGAAAAGUAAGAGCAUGUUGCUUUGCCAGCUCAUUAGCUUGACAUAUUUUUAUUGCACUUGCCAGUGUGAGAUCCGCUUCCCUCAACAGCUUUUCUCUUAGCUUCUUUUCAUUUGUCCCAUAAACAAUCUGAUCCCUUAUCAUUGAGUUUUUUAGAUCACCAAAGUUGCAGGACUGAGCUUUUAUUUUGAGAUCGGUGAGAUAAUUAUCAAACGACUCACCAGGCUGUUGGAGACGAGAACGAAAUACAUAUCUCUCGUAAGUUUCAUUUUUCUUCGAAAGACAGUGUUCAUCAAACUUCUUUAGGACCUCGUCAAACUUGUCUUUAUCGUCGGGUUCAUUAUAUACAAAGGUGUUGAAUACUUCAAUAGCCUCCGCUCCUGCAAUGGUUAGCAAAAGGGCUAUUUUUCUUUCUUCCGCCCGACGAUCAACUCCAACCGCGGCAAUGUAGAGCUGAAAUUGUUGCUUGAAGGUUCGCCAGUUCGCAUCCACAUUCCCCGUCAUUUUCAGCGGAGUUGGUGGUUUUACUGCGUCCAUCUUGCAUCAGUUCUUUUCCUGACCCCAGUCCUGGUACCAUGUAAUGUUCGGCCUUCUGUUAUU